AACUAACGCUGGCGGCGCGUCUUAAACAUGCAAGUCGAGCGGAAAGGCCCGCAAGGGUACUCGAGCGGCAAACGGGUGAGUAACACGUAGGUAAUUUUCCUCUCAGUGGGGGACAACCUGCCGAAAGGCAGGCUAAUACCGCAUAUUAUCCAGUUUUCUACGGAUUUCUGGAUGAAAGUAGUAAUACGCUGAGAGAUGAACCUGCGCCCAAUUAGCUUGUUGGCGGGGUAAUGGCCCACCAAGGCGACGAUUGGUAGCCGGCCUGAGAGGGUGUACGGCCACACUGGGACUGAGACACGGCCCAGACUCCUACGGGAGGCAGCAGUUAAGAAUCUUGCGCAAUGGGCGCAAGCCUGACGCAGCGACGCCGCGUGGGGGAUGAAGGUCUUCGGAUUGUAAACCCCUUUCGGGAGGGAAGAUGGAACGAGCAAUCGUUCGGACGGUACCUCCAGAAGCAGCCACGGCCAACUUCGUG
rnacentral:rRNA from 1 species